ensembl:lncRNA
CCUGUCAACUCAUUCAUUCAUUCACCAGUGGUUAUUGAUACCAAAUAGGUACCAGAGGAUGUUCUAAAUUUCUGUAAAGGAGUGGGAGGCAAGGAGAGUAUAAAAAGGAAGGCUGGAUCACCUUUGGAGAUUUGUCAGGAUAAAAACACCUGGACCCCACCUCACAACCAGUGAACCAUCACCUUCCUUGUAGCAGCCAUGCCUCCAUCCAAGGAACAAGGGCAGGCAGAAAAGUGAAAGAAAGCUUUCCUAGCAUCUGAUGAAAGGAUGAAAUAUGGAUGGCUGCUAACCCUAAGGAUUUCCCACUAGAGGCAUCAUUUGGUGGCAAGUCUGUUUACUACAUUUGCAAGAAGGGACAGGAAGCAGACAGAGGCAACAGGGCUUCUAAGGAACGGGCGUAUGUUUCCAGACAUCACUCAGCUGAGAGUAUAUUUCCUACCGGAGAUGUUUAUAAAAUGCUUCCCGUCACUGAGGCGCAAAGCACAGGGCUCUGGCAGAGCGUGUGUGGAAUUUUCAAAGGGAAAUUAGGUUCCUGCCAAAUUGGACCAUCAUUUUUUUUUUCCCUGAACAUUUCCCACCUCCUCCCAUUUCCUAGGCUUUGAUCCACCUCUUUCUGCCAUCGGUAGUGCCACCACCUCAUUUCUACUUGUCAGAAGUCCAUAAAUUCACUGAGCCACGGUUUUUAAAAAACCCUGUCAAAAAUACUGGUCUAAGCCUGCUCUGACCCCCACCUUAAUACACUGUCUUCUUCCUUCAAUUUCACCACUGCAUUUGGUACGUACCUUUGUACCUGGGUACACACAGCCUCUAUGUAGAAAUAGCAGUGGUUUCCCAGAAAUGAAUCUAAUGAACUCAUUAGCCACCAGUCACCUAUAGAAAACACUUGAUUUAACCACUUCAGGUUUCCUCCAUCACUAAUUAAAUCGGGACUGAAAUUCAGUCAGGGUUCAUGACCCCUCUCAGGGUUGGUGUAGCUGCAUAAGCGUUCUCCCUUCUCUCUCCCUGCAGCCAGGAAGGAGCUCGGGUGGCCGCGUGGCUGAAGGACAGGGGGACCUCAUGGUGCGGGCAGGCAGGAUUUGAAAUAGCUCAACUGGAAUUCCAUCAACUUCACUAGCUUUGUUUGUAGUGAGGCUUCCUAAGGCCCACUUGACUUCGCAUUCCAGGAUGUCUGGUUCUAGUGAGGAGAUUACAAACAGGCCUGGUAGUUUCAUUCCAACACCAGUGGAGGCUUCCCUUGGCUCCCCUCGCCAUUCAGCUGUGACUCAGAGGAAUCUCCUUGGCUGUGAGAGGGCUUGUGACCUGCACAUCUGCUCGUCAUUUACCUACUGUGGAUCUGCUGGGCUGGUGAAGAACUGGUUCCUGCUUCUUCUGCCUUAUUCUGUGAUAUGUGGAGAGAAAUUGCUCCUGUUAAUUUGACUCCAUCCCUGGCUUUGCUCCUGUCAAAUCGGAUGCAUGGAAAUCCUCCAGAAUGUACCAUUCCCAUGGCUCUCACCAUCUUGUUUGCUCCUCCUUCCUGCGGUCAAUACAUCCCAGGUGCCACCUAUGUACCUGCUAAUUUUUACUCCCAGCUGCAAUGAGUCACUUGAAGUUUUAGUCUAUAAAACAAAUGAAAAAAGAGAAAGUUACUGAUGCAUGGGAUAGAGGAUGUGAUAUUGAUUGCUUUUAGAACAAAGAAAACCUGCUUACAGGUAUCCCAGUAAGAGUGUGAUUGGCAGCUUCUGCAAAUACCCUGCGUCUCCAAAGUCAGAAACACAAUGAAAGAGAGAGAAAAAACCUUAUGUAACCAUAACAGUGCCCAUUAUUAGUCUCUUAAAAUAACCCAGCACUUUACUAAGAUUUUGUGUAUAAUGAUAUCUUAUUAUUAUUUUAAAGGUCUUUUUUGAGGUGGACCAUUUUUAAAGUCCUUAUUGAAUUUGUUGUAAUAUUGUUUUUGUUUUUUAUGUUCUGGUUUUUUGGCCAUGAGGCAUGUGGGAUCCUAGCUCCCCGACCAGGGAUUGAACCCACUCUCCCUGCACUGGAAUGUGAAGUCUUAACCAGUGGACCACCAGUAGUCCUGAUAUAUUAAAGCAACUCUCUGGGAUAGGAGUAACUGUCCUCAAUUUACAGAUUAGGGAAUAUAAGACUUAGGGAAAUUAAAGAUACUAAUAAGUAGCAGAGCUGAAAUUCAUACUCAGGAAAGUCUGACUCCAGUACUACUUAUCCUUCCAACCAGCAUUUUCUUGCUUCUUAUUGGACUUUCCUCUUCUAGAUCAGGUCCAUGCUUGUGCUUUACUCAGUGAGAUUUCUCGGAAUCUGGAAAAUGGUGUUUGAUAUAUUUCAGGCUCUGUGAUAAUUCUGUAUGUUAAUGAUUAAAAUAUAUGAAUCAACUGAACUGCAAGCUGCUUACUAGCUGCCAUCUUUCUCUCUCUACAGCUGACAUUAGAAAAAUAAAGCUAUAAAAACAGGUUUAAAUUUUUAAAUUAAAAUCCACAUUUCUGUACUAUAGAAUACCUCACUGCUAUGCUUUAUUUCAAUAGAUGAAGGUAUUUUGAGUAUUUUCAAUUGAUACGGCAACUUUUACUUGAAAAUUCUACUAUCUCUAGGUCAUUCAUAGAUCAUAAAACCAUUUUGAUAAGCAGGAGAAUUAAUAAACGAUGCUCAUGCAAUUUGAAAUUUAAAAUUUUGAGUUCUCUGAUAUGUUAAAGUCUUUCUCUGUUUGUUAAGAGGGAAUAAAAUCAAACUGUGAUUUUUUCCAAGACAAGAAUGAGGCUUAAAUGUCUUGAGUCCUUUUAAGUGUCUCCUCUUCCAUGUUAUCUCCUAAGUCCAUUACAGUAAUUUUUUUUUUUAAGUCUAUGUGCUUAAAUAUAUCACUUGGACCUCUGGAAGUACAGUAUUGACUUCAGCCAGUAUAACUUUGUAUGUUACUCCUGUGGUUAUCAUCCAUGUAUAGGAC